GUUGUGAGCACCUUCUGCUCCAUAUUUGUGUUUGUUCAGAAUUGUUGGCUAGAAACACCCGAACAUUCAUUUUGGAGUACUCCAAUAGCAGUAGUUGAUGAGAUGAAUGUGGGCAUCAACCGACCUCGACAGCAGCUCCAGGAAUAGCCUUCACCUGGGUGUGCCGUGUGCAGCACCACCACCACUAGUAGCAGCAGCUCUAGGAUAAGGCCUAGAGGUGGAGUGGAGGAGUGCCGUGUGUAGCAGCAGCACCACCAGUAGUAGCAGGAGCUCGGGAGAGGAGGAUCGCCUGGGCCUAGAAGUGGAGGCGCUUGGACCUGGGUGCAGUCUUGGAGGUGGAGGCGCCAGGAUCUGGGUGGAGGUGGAUGUGGAGGUUGAGGACAGGGCCGGAGGUGGAGGUCGGGGCGAGGCCGGAUGUGCCAUAUAUUAUGUAGUAAUGCCAAAUAUUAUGACAUGGAUGUGCUAUAUAUAUAUAAUGGGAUAUGGAUUAUGUUA